ACAACACACGUGACACACGUGACUAAACCUGAUUGGUUGUUGUCAUAGUAACACGCCACGGUGCUAUUUGAAAGCUGUAGUUGUUCAGUGAGUUCAGUUCACGAGGUGCAUGCGGUUGCUUGCGUUAAACGUAUAAACUGUUAAAUUAGAUGGCGACUCUGCAUUAAACGUAUUUAUUUAAUUAAUCGGCGAUCGUAUUUCACCAGAGGACUAAGAUAAAACAACUCGAUUUAAAAUGUGAGCAGUUUUAGUGGAUCUGACGUCGAGGGAAAAAGUAUUUUUGUUUGGAGAUGAACGAGACAACACGAGGCACAGCGACAUAAAUAUGACCAACCAGAUCCCAAGUAGACAGGAACAAAUGAAGAUAUAGCGCAUAGAAAGACUUAUUCUUGGUGAUCAACUGCUAUUGACAUUUUUGAAUCGGGACAAAUGUGGAGUGAUUCGGAAGAAAAACGUUUGCAACACAUCCAUUCCAGAGUGCUCUGACAGAUAAAACUGACACGCUUGAUGAGGACACAGUCAAAGCUUUAAAAGACCGUGUGAUAAAGCAGUCUUCAAUUACUACGGUGUCUGAAUUGCAAGAAGAAAUGACCCUCCACUUAAACAUGUGACAUCUAAACUGUUGUGUGUUUUAGUUCAGCUUUUUAUAGGUUUAUCUUAAGUUGGUUAAAGGCGGAGUGCACUAUUUUUGAAAGCCAAUGUUAACAUUUGAAAUUACCUAAACAAACAUGCCUCUACCCCAAUAGAAUCUGGACCUUCUUUUGAUAGAGCCACCACACACAGACGCAACCCCUGCAAGGAUGUCAGUUAGUAGACACGCCCCUUACUGCUGGUUGGCUACAAGUGUGUUUUGGUAGUCGGCCCAAUUUCCUUUUCCAAAGCGUUUUUCAAACAUUGUGCACUCCGUCUUUAAAUU